rnacentral:misc_RNA from 1 species
AACGCACAUUGCGCCCUUUGGUAUUCCUUAGGGCAUGCCUGUUCGAGCGUCAUUUACACCCUCAAGCACAGCUUGGUGUUGGGCGUCUGUCCCGCUUCGGCGCGGACUCGCCUCAAAACGAUUGGCAGCCACUUCAGCGGCUUUGAGCGCAGCAGAAUUGCGUCUCUCGUCGCGGCGGAUGGCAUCCAUCAAGCAACAUCUAUAUCUUGACCUCGGAUCAGGUAGGGAUACCCGCUGAACUUAA